rnacentral:lncRNA from 1 species
GCUGGGAUUACAGGCGUGAGCCACCGCGCCCGGCCCACUUAAACAUUCCUAAGAAGACUGAGGCUCUGUCUACAGAUCUCCUCUUCUUCUAAACCUGCACCAGAAUUGCCUUUAAUACUCUGUUCAUAGCCAUUUAGGCUUUUUCUGCCAUGCACUCUGAAACACUUCCAGACUCUACCAGCAGUUUGAAAUCUGCUUCCACAUUUUCAGAUUUAUUAUGUCACAGUACGGGAGGCUGGAAAAAGUGCAAGAUCAGGACACUGGCUGUUUUGGUGUCUGGUGAGGGUCCCAGUCUCUUCUUCAAGAUGAAGACUUGUUGCUGCCUCUCCUGAAGGGGACAAAUGCUGUGUCACCACACUGUGGAUGGUGGAAGAGCAAUACAAGCUGGGACACCCAUCUUCUCUUGCCUUUGGAUAUCAGAACUCCAGAUUCUUCAGCCUUCGCACUCUGAGACUUGUACCAGUGGCCUCCGGGUCUCAGGCCUUCAGCUGCAGACUGAGAGUUACCCAACUGGCUUUCCUGAUUGACGCUUAGACUGUACCACAUAAAUGGCUUCCCUGGUCCCCAGCUUGCAGAUGGCCUAUUGUGGGAAUUUUCAGCCUCUGUAAUCAUUGUAAUCAUAUGAGCCCAUUCCCAUAAUAAAUCCCUUCUCAUGUAUCUAUGUAUCUAUACCUGUAUCAAUCCUAU